AUUGAACGCUGGCGGCAGGCCUAACACAUGCAAGUCGAACGAGUGGCGGACGGGUGAGUAAUGUCUGGGCAACUGCCUGAUGGAGGGGGAUAACUACUGGAAACGGUAGCUAAUACCGCAUACCAUCGGAUGUGCCCAGAUGGGAUUAGCUAGUAGGGGGGGUAACGGCUCACCUAGGCGACGAUCCCUAGCUGGUCUGAGAGGAUGACCAGCCACACUGGAACUGAGACACGGUCCAGACUCCUACGGGAGGCAGAAGUGGGGAAUAUUGCACAAUGGGCGAAAGCCUGAUGCAGCCAUGCCGCGUGUAUGAAGAAGGCCUUCGGGUUGUAAAGUACUGUCAGCGGGGAGGCGUUACCCGAAGAGGAAGCACCGGCUAACUCCGUGCCAGCAGCCGCGGUAAUAC
rnacentral:rRNA from 1 species